UCCCAGACCCCUCACCUUCUGCCUCCCCUUGGUCGCGUCCGGGUCCCUGUGGAGCUAACGAUCUCGCCACGACGUCAAGAAAGACGUAACGUCGGGCCACUGUGGCCUCUGGGAAACGUAGUCCAGAGCCAGACCAGACGCAGAUAAGAUGGCGUCCUCAUACGGCGGAGUCUGAGUUUGGCCGUUUGACAUUGCGCCCGGGGGAGCUUCAAAGACGGAGUCCCUGCUCCAGACCUCCCACCAGGCUUCAGCUGAUUUUCUUCUAAAGCAGGACGACUCACCCUUAGAGCCCCAUAAUUACUGGAAGAAGCAGCCACGUUCGUGUGGGACAGAGUGCUGACCAGCAAAGCCUAAAGGGAAAUGUAGUUCAAGGCCGGAAAAGCGGCGUUGCUGUAGACCGAAGGUAAUCAAAUACCAGGCUAGGCCUGGCCACGGUGACCGUGAGGGCCGCGUCGCGGAGACUUCUGGGAGUGUUCGCUCGCCCUCGGAGUGCGCAGGCGCAGCGCGCCGAGUGGACAUUUUGGUCUUUGUCCGCGGGUCAGUCCGGCCCCUGGGUCCACGUGGCGCGAAAGUAGGAGCAAGCAAGACUAUUUCGAAGGCACUUUUUGUUGGUGGAAGAGCUUCAGACGAUCUCAAAUCUUCUGAUCUAAAGGGUUAUAAACUGACCAAACUGUAUCUGAUCCUGUGUUGGAAUAAGAAGACACUGGAUGGUGGAGAACCAAGUGGAAAGGAAAUUUGUUCAGGUGAGUGAAUGGCAAGGCAGGUCACCAUUGGUCAGGCAUCAUUGACACCUUUGAAAUACUCAGGGAUAUUUUCUUACAGGCCCUAGACUUGG
rnacentral:lncRNA from 1 species